rnacentral:rRNA from 1 species
AUUGAACGCUGGCGGCAGGCCUAACACAUGCAAGUAGAACGAGUGGCGGACGGGUGAGUAAUGUCUGGGAACCUGCCUGAUGGAGGGGGAUAACUACUGGAAAUGGUAGCUAAUACCGCAUACCAUCGGAUGUGCCCAGAUGGGAUUAGCUAGUAGGUGGGGUAAAGGAUCACCUAGGCGACGAUCCCUAGCUGGUCUGAGAGGAUGAGCAGCCACACUGGAACUGAGACACGGUCCAGACUCCUACGGGAGGCAGCAGUGGGGAAUAUUGCACAAUGGGCGCAAGCCUGAUGCAGCCAUGCCGCGUGUAUGAAGAAGGCCUUCGGGUGGUAAAGUACUUUCAGCGGGGAGACGUUACCCGCAGAAGAAGCACCGGCUAACUCCGUGCCAGCAGCCGCGGUAAUUC